AGAAAUCCAAGACACAGAGAAGACAGCUCCCUCGGUAUCUCUGUCUCAGUGUUACAGUACGUGUACGAGUACAUUCCCGGAAUCUCUCAUGGAACUACGAUUAAAAGGCAUUGCUCCCCAAAACAAGAAAAAAAAGCCGGAGAAACAAUUCAUCCAUCCAUCUUACAGACCCUAAUGGAUUUAAAAAAAAAACUUAAGCUUCUACCAGAAUAUAAGAAACUUCUUUAACUUUUAAAAUUUAUGAAUACCGGUAUCUUGAUCACUUCUGAAAGAGAGCUUUCAGCCACUAAAGAUUAUUCCCAGGUCUGCUGUUUUGAAAAGCGGAGAAGACAAGAGGGGAAGAAGGAGUAAGAAGAGGCUGUCUUACCCCUAAGCUUAAAGUGCAUUUCAGAGAUUGGUGACCUAGAUGGUACCCCGUGAGUUCAUCUGGAUCAUCACAGGAACAGACAAGGACCGUCUACUAAAGCUGAUGCCCCUGGAUGAAGACUUUCGUCCCAGUAGAAGGUGCAACUUUUUGAGGUCCUCAAGUUACCAACUGGGCAAAACAGUAGGGAUCCACAGAUUUUUGUAUAUGUCAAACUCCCCAAAGUCGUUAUUGGGUAGAGACCUAUUAGAACAACCAGACACCAAAACAUUAUUUGACGAAGGGGAAAAAAGAAUUAAAAGUCAAAGAGGAUCAAUUAACUGAACUGUUAAGCCUGGCCUUAAUCCAAGAAAGAAGGGAAGCAAAAGUGCCCCAAGAAAUUUUAGACCAGUAUAUCC